UGAGGAAUAUUGCACAAUGGAGGGAACUCUGAUGCAGCGACGCCGCGUGAACGAAGAAGGCUUUCGAGUCGUAAAGUUCUUUUAUAUGGGAAGAUAAUGACGGUACCAUAAGAAAAAGCUCCGGCUAACUACGUGCCAGCAGCCGCGGUAAUACGUAGGGGGCUAGCGUUGUCCGGAAUCACUGGGCGUAAAGGGUUCGCAGGCGGAAAUGCAAGUCAGGUGUAAAAGGCAGUAGCUUAACUACUGUAAGCAUUUGAAACUGCAUAUCUUGAGAAGAGUAGAGGUAAGUGGAAUUUUUAGUGUAGCGGUGAAAUGCGUAGAUAUUAAAAAGAAUACCGGUGGCGAAGGCGACUUACUGGGCUCAUUCUGACGCUGAGGAACGAAAGCGUGGGUAGCAAACAGG
rnacentral:rRNA from 1 species